ensembl:snRNA U6 U6 spliceosomal RNA
GCGCUCCCUUCAGCAGCACCUAGACUAAAGUUGGAACGAUAGAAAUUAAUUUGGCCCCUGCACAAGGAUGACUUGCAAAUUCCUGAACCAUUCCAUGCUUUU